AUUGAACGCUGGCGGCGUGCCUAAUACAUGCAAGUAGGACGCAGUUGCGAACGGGUGAGUAACGCGUAGGUCACUACAUAUUAGAGGGGGAUAAAUAUUGGAAACGAUAGCUAAUACCGCAUACUAGUAGAUGGACCUGCGUUGUAUUAGCUAGUAGGUAGGGUAAUGGCCUACCUAGGCAACGAUACAUAGCCGACCUGGGAGGGUGAUCGGCCAAACUGGGACGUGGACACGGCCCAGACUCCGACGGGAGGCAGCAGGAGGGAAUUUGCGGCAAUGGGGGGAACCCUGACCGAGCAACGCCGCGUGAGGGAAGAAGGUUUUCGGAUCGUAAAGCUCUGUUGUUAAGGAAGCGGUACUUAACCAGAAAGCGACGGCUAACUACGUGCCAGCAGCCGCGGUAAUAC
rnacentral:rRNA from 1 species